UACGGAGGGUGCAAGCGUUGCUCGGAAUCACUGGGCGUAAAGCGCCCGCAGGCGGCCUGACAAGUCGGAUGUGAAAGCCCUGGGCUCAACUCAGGAAUUGCAUUCGAAACUGGCAGGCUUGAGUACGGGAGAGGGGGGUGGAAUUCCUGGUGUAGGGGUGAAAUGCGCAGAUAUCAGGAAGAACACCCGUGGCGAAAGCGGCUCUCUGGAACGGUACUGACGCUGAGACGCGAAAGCGUGGGGAGCGAACAGG
rnacentral:rRNA from 1 species